AAACGAUGGCUAAUACCGCAUGAUGCCUACGGGCCAAAGAGGGGGACCUUCGGGCCUCUCGCGUCAGGAUAUGCCUAGGUGGGAUUAGCUAGUUGGUGAGGUAAGGGCUCACCAAGGCGACGAUCCCUAGCUGGUCUGAGAGGAUGAUCAGCCACACUGGAACUGAGACACGGUCCAGACUCCUACGGGAGGCAGCAGUGGGGAAUAUUGCACAAUGGGCGCAAGCCUGAUGCAGCCAUGCCGCGUGUAUGAAGAAGGCCUUCGGGUUGUAAAGUACUUUCAGUCGUGAGGAAGGUGGUGUCGUUAAUAGCGGCAUUAUUUGACGUUAGCGACAGAAGAAGCACCGGCUAACUCCGUGCCAGCAGCCGCGGUAAUACGGAGGGUGCGAGCGUUAAUCGGAAUUACUGGGCGUAAAGCGCAUGCAGGUGGUUUGUUAAGUCAGAUGUGAAAGCCCGGGGCUCAACCUCGGAAUAGCAUUUGAAACUGGCAGACUAGAGUACUGUAGAGGGGGGUAGAAUUUCAGGUGUAGCGGUGAAAUGCGUAGUGAU
rnacentral:rRNA from 1 species